rnacentral:tRNA from 1 species
GGUCAGAUCGCCAAGAGGUUGAAGGCAUCGGUCUGCAAAACCGACAUCGUGGGUUCGACUCCCACUCUGACCU